AUACGGAGGAUCCGAGCGUUAUCCGGAUUUAUUGGGUUUAAAGGGUGCGCAGGCGGCCAUUUAAGUCAGCGGUUAAAUCGUGGGGCUCAACCCCAUUCUGCCGUUGAUACUGGGUGGCUUGAUUGCGGUCGAGGUUGGCGGAAUUCGUUGUGUAGCGGUGAAAUGCAUAGAUAUGGCGAAGAACACCGAUUGCGUAGGCAGCUGACCAGACCGCAAAUGACGCUCAUGCACGAAAGUGCGGGGAUCGAACAGGAUUAGAUACCCUGGUAGUCCGCACAGUAAACGAUGAGUACUUGUUUUCGGCGAUAUAAUGUCGGAGGCAAAGCGAAAGCGAUAAGUAUUCCACCUGGGGAGUACGCCGGCAACGGUGAAACUCAAAUGAAUUGGCGGGG
rnacentral:rRNA from 1 species